rnacentral:rRNA from 1 species
CUUAACUACGUGCCAGCAGCCGCGGUAAUACGUAGGGUGCGAGCGUUGUCCGGAAUUAUUGGGCGUAAAGGGCUCGUAGGCGGUUUGUCGCGUCGGGAGUGAAAACACCGGGCUUAACUCGGUGCUUGCUUUCGAUACGGGCAGACUAGAGGUAUUCAGGGGAGAACGGAAUUCCUGGUGUAGCGGUGAAAUGCGCAGAUAU